UACGUAGGGUGCAAGCGUUGUCCGGAAUUAUUGGGCGUAAAGAGCUCGUAGGCGGUUUGUCGCGUCUGCUGUGAAAACCCGAGGCUCAACCUCGGGCCUGCAGUGGGUACGGGCAGACUAGAGUGCGGUAGGGGAGACUGGAAUUCCUGGUGUAGCGGUGAAAUGCGCAGAUAUCAGGAGGAACACCGAUGGCGAAGGCAGGUCUCUGGGCCACUACUGACGCUGAGAAGCGAAAGCAUGGGGAGCGAACAGG
rnacentral:rRNA from 1 species